GGUGGAGAGAGUGAGGAGGAAGAGGAGGAGGUGCCGUCCCACAAUACCAGGCGGGAGGGCGGGUAGGCGGUUUGUAUCCGGGCUGUGAGGUGCUCCGAGCCUCGGCGGACCUUGCUGCCUCUGUCUCUUUAACGUGAGAGGAAGCGAUGCGGAGGGGUGGAAAAUGGCAGAGCUGCAGAUGUUACUAGAGGAGGAGAUUCCAUCUGGCAAGAGGGCGCUGAUAGAGAGUUACCAAAACCUGACCCGGGUGGCGGACUACUGUGAAAACAACUACAUACAGGUGAGGAGCGCGGACGAGCGAACAGCGGGCGCUG
rnacentral:lncRNA from 1 species